rnacentral:rRNA from 1 species
GGUUGCGAUCAUACCAGCACUAAUGCACCGGAUCCUCAGAAUCCGCAGUUAAGCGUGCUUGGGCGAGAGUAGUAUAGGAUGGGUGACCCCCUGGGAAGUCCUCGUGUUGCAACCC